AUUGAACGCUGGCGGCAGGCCUAACACAUGCAAGUCGAGCGGUAGAGAGAAGCUUGCUUCUCUUGAGAGCGGCGGACGGGUGAGUAAUGCCUAGGAAUCUGCCUGGUAGUGGGGGAUAACGUUCGGAAACGGACGCUAAUACCGCAUACGCCCUACGGGGGAAAGCCGGGGACCUUCGGGUCUUGCGCUAUCAGAUGAGCCUAGGUCGGAUUAGCUAGUUGGUGGGGUAAUGGCUCACCAAGGCGACGAUCCGUAACUGGUCUGAGAGGAUGAUCAGUCACACUGGAACUGAGACACGGUCCAGACUCCUACGGGAGGCAGCAGUGGGGAAUAUUGGACAAUGGGCGAAAGCCUGAUCCAGCCAUGCCGCAUGUGUGAAGAAGGUCUUCGGAUUGUAAAGCACUUUAAGUUGGGAGGAAGGGAAGUAAAUUAAUACUUUGCCGUAUUGACGUUACCGACAGAAUAAGCACCGGCUAACUCUGUG
rnacentral:rRNA from 1 species